UACGUAGGGUGCGAGCGUUGUCCGGAAUUACUGGGCGUAAAGAGCUCGUAGGUGGUUUGUCGCGUUGUCCGUGAAAACUCACAGCUCAACUGUGGGCGUGCGGGCGAUACGGGCAGACUUGAGUACUGCAGGGGAGACUGGAAUUCCUGGUGUAGCGGUGGAAUGCGCAGAUAUCAGGAGGAACACCGGUGGCGAAGGCGGGUCUCUGGGCAGUAACUGACGCUGAGGAGCGAAAGCGUGGGGAGCGAACAGG
rnacentral:rRNA from 1 species